UAUUGAGCAGUACCUCCCUGACAAACUGAACUGGUAUCAGUUCAUUCGGCGUGUGUCACGGGUCCUGAGAGUGGUUUUUCUUUGACAGCCUCCGACACGCUCACUUGCUGUUAGCAGUCUGCAGACUCUUAGAGAAGAGAAAUGAAAUACUGUAGUUCAAAUGAUUUGAGCAAAGUUACAUGUUUUUGCAUUCAUGUGUGUGUGGGUGGGUGGGUGUGUGUGUGAAAGAGCUCUCUGUCCUUGUGCAGUGAUCCUUGGCUAAUACCUGAGAAACAGAUCCAGCUGCCCCUAACAACCACAUCUGGACUUUCACCUGCCUCAGGGCUCAUGGUCACACAGAGAGGUGAUGGCGAGGAGGUGUUGAUAUUCCACAGUGAGCAGUUUACGUUUUUACUUUGAUACAGUAUUUACACCGUUGUGUUGGGAAAUAAAGCAGUCAUGUUUUAAUUUGUUCAAUUAAUUUUCUAGACAGUUUCUUGCAAAGAGAUAUGUGACCUUUGCAUUAUUUAAAGCUAAAAUAAGGACAAAAUUCUUAAGUAUGAUGGAGGGGUGUUUGAGUGACUUUCACGCAAUGUCUGCCAUAUUGGUAUUUGUUUAUGUCCCUUGUUGUUAACCUAACCAGCCCAACAGCAGAGCCAUGUGGGUGCCACAUGCUUCCCAUAAGAGCAGACUUCCUGCCGCAAGAACUGUGACAUCCCAUCAUGCACGAGCCACGCUGCAAAUGUCCGCCAGCCAUUCUGUCCUCUCACUGUUCCCUAUUGUGUUCUCUCUGAACGCCAUUAAAUGAAAAGCUGGUUCAUUUCGUCAUGGCCGACUCAAACCCUGAUCCUCUUUUGUGUGACCUUCCAACAGCGUUUUAAGCCCCAGCUGGACCCACUUUGAAGACCUCAAUA